AUUGAACGCUGGCGGCAUGCCUUACACAUGCAAGUCGAACGGUAACAGGUCUUCGGAUGCUGACGAGUGGCGAACGGGUGAGUAAUACAUCGGAACGUGCCCAGACGUGGGGGAUAACGAGGCGAAAGCUUUGCUAAUACCGCAUACGAUCUAAGGAUGAAAGCAGGGGACCGCAAGGCCUUGCGCGUUUGGAGCGGCCGAUGGCAGAUUAGGUAGUUGGUGGGAUAAAAGCUUACCAAGCCGACGCUCUGUAGCUGGUCUGAGAGGACGACCAGCCACACUGGGACUGAGACACGGCCCAGACUCCUACGGGAGGCAGCAGUGGGGAAUUUUGGACAAUGGGCGAAAGCCUGAUCCAGCAAUGCCGCGUGCAGGAUGAAGGCCUUCGGGUUGUAAACUGCUUUUGUACGGAACGAAAAGGCUCUGGCUAAUACCUGGGGCACAUGACGGUACCGGAAGAAUAAGCACCGGCUAACUACGUG
rnacentral:rRNA from 1 species